GGAGAUCAAGGAGAACCGGGUAUUGUUGUAAACGCUGGUGAGACUUUGGUUUCAACGCGAGCAGAAAGUGAGUCAGAAAGUGAGAUCUAAUUUGAACAUUAGUGACUUACAGAAAUGCAUUAAUAUGACACUUGUACAUCUGACAUUUUUAGGACAGCAUGGUGCUGCACAUGUUGGUGUUACUGGACCACCUGGACCUCCUGGUCCCCCAGGGCCCCCUGGACGUCCAGGCGAUUCUAGACCAGGUCCACCAGGACCACCUGGUGAACCGGGUGCACAAGGAUAUGGAAGACCUGGUCCUAAAGGAGAGAAGGGAGAACCAGGAAACUUUGUGCCUAAUUCAGGAACAUUUUUUGCGGGACCACCUGGGCCACCAGGACCCCCAGGGCCUAAGGGAGUGACAGGUUAGUCUUACCCAGAACUGGUGUUUAGUUGAUUCUACUUGUUGGUACCUUUAUUCCAACCUAUCACCAGUGAAGGCACUAUGAAAAUGUGAUAUCAGAAAGUAGAAUAUUUAACUAUUAUCAGAUAUCUAAUGAUACAUUUAUGUAAAUUUCAGGUGCCCAA
ensembl:lncRNA